rnacentral:rRNA from 1 species
GAUGAACGCUGACAGAAUGCUUAACACAUGCAAGUCAACUUGAAUUUGGGUUUUUAACUUAGGUUUGGGUGGCGGACGGGUGAGUAACGCGUACAGAACUUGCCUCACAGCUAGGGACAACAUUUGGAAACGAAUGCUAAUACCUAAUAUUAUGAUAAUAGGGCAUCCUAUAAUUAUGAAAGCUAUAAGCGCUGUGAGAGAGCUUUGCGUGCCAUUAGCUAGGUGGAGAGGUAACGGCUCACCAAGGCGAUGAUGGGUAGCCGGCCUGAGAGGGUGAUCGGCCACAAGGGGACUGAGACACGGCCCUUACUCCUACGGGAGGCAGCAGUGGGGAAUAUUGGACAAUGGACCGAGAGUCUGAUCCAGCAAUUCUGUGUGCACGAUGAAGUUUUUCGGAAUGUAAAGAGCUUUCAGUUGGGAAGAAACAAAUGACGGUACCAACAGAAGAAGUGACGGCUAAAUACGUG